ACGCACGCAAGUUAACUUUAAUGAGGUUAUGUGAUUAAUAUGAACGUCAAUGUAUAAUGAGUCAAGCAAACAAGAAUCAAACUAUCGAAAUGCACACGGACCAAAGUAUUACAAAUCAGAAAUCUAAAACAGAAAGGCAAACUUACCUUAAACACGAGAAAAUCCAGCCCUGCAUCUCCUCCAUGACAAGCCCAACUGUCCCUCUCUGAUUCAAAGCCAAACAUGCAUGCGCGGAUGAACUUUUAGAUUAAAAUGUACUCAAUAUUUCUAAAUUUAUGUGCAGUGACUAUAAAACAUGUAAAUAUUACAAGUAAAUAUUAAUAAGAGUUACUAUUCUCACACAGUUCAUUAAUUACAUGAAUUAAAUGUGUACAUUUUACUUGUAAUAUUACAAAUCAAGGAGAACAAUUUUCUAAGUAGAAUUUAUGAUGAUUAAUAUAUUUUACAACAACACAAACUUUUUUUCAGUGUAUUUUUUGACACAUGUAAAGAAUGUUUAAGUAAAAAUGAAGUGAACCAGUAGCUUUAUUUGAUUUCCUGUUUGUUUUUUGAGAGUGUUGUUUCAAAAAAUGGAUGGUAAAACCAGGUUUAAAUGGUUUUGGGUUAAGAUUUAACUGUGAAUACAGAGAUAACUUGAAUAUGACAUCCUUGUGCAUAGCACCACUUCUCUUCAUUAUCUAACUGUUCCC